rnacentral:rRNA from 1 species
UAGUCKGKACGUACCCGCUGAGUUUUAAGCAUAUGUCAUCGGGAUUCAAAGUGCAUGCUACAUCUCAUCAUCAGACGAGAACUCAAUAGUCUCGAAUGACCACCAGUCACAUGCAGCACU